GCACAUGAUGACUGAAAUUCUUCACUUUGACCUGAUGUCUGUUGAAGAAACUCCGUGUCUGAGC
rnacentral:snoRNA from 1 species